rnacentral:lncRNA from 1 species
UCACUCCAUCUUGGCUUAGUAAAAGCUUGAUGCUUUUAUCAAGGAAGACCUCGUGCCAUUUUUGGAUGACAGGUCUGCUAGGAGGGACAUCGCUUCAGCAUCCUAACAUGGUGUGGAAGAAACUGGCACAAGGUCCCCCCAGCAGGCGUCCUGACAACCUUCCAAGGAAACGAGGGCGGUUAACGCUGGCUGAGCCGCACUGUGGGACCAGUUGUUGCCCAGCUGUAGUGUGCAGAGAAGCCGAAACAGUAGUGUACCAUUGGGCAGGACAAGUCAGGAAUGAGCCAGCCUUUGGAAGGAAGACCUGCCAUCCUAGCUGGAGACAUCUGAAGAGAGGACAUCUUAGUCCUGUGGCAUGCUCCAGUAGAAAUUACUUAGAAGAAAAAAAAUCAUCUUUAAUGACAGAAGUAAGGCAUGACCAGAGAAGAAAGUUCACAAACUAA